rnacentral:misc_RNA from 1 species
GCUUGAAAUGCAGGUGCAGCUGGACAUUCUUCUGAGCUAAAAGCAUAUUUAUUUAGUCCCGUCAAACGGAUUAUUACUUUUGCUCUAGCUAACAUAAAGGUCGAAUGAACUAUACGCUGACUGAUGCAGGAUUACCAAGUUUCUCUAGGGAAACUUGUAAACUCGAUCUCAAAUCAAGUAAGACUACCCGCUGAACUUAA